AGUGAACGCUGGCGGUAGGCCUAACACAUGCAAGUCGAACGGCAGCACAGUAAGAGCUUGCUCUUACGGGUGGCGAGUGGCGGACGGGUGAGGAAUACAUCGGAAUCUACUUUUUCGUGGGGGAUAACGUAGGGAAACUUACGCUAAUACCGCAUACGACCUACGGGUGAAAGCAGGGGAUCUUCGGACCUUGCGCGAUUGAAUGAGCCGAUGUCGGAUUAGCUAGUUGGCGGGGUAAAGGCCCACCAAGGCGACGAUCCGUAGCUGGUCUGAGAGGAUGAUCAGCCACACUGGAACUGAGACACGGUCCAGACUCCUACGGGAGGCAGCAGUGGGGAAUAUUGGACAAUGGGCGCAAGCCUAAUCCAGCCAUACCGCGUGAGUGAAGAAGGCCUUCGGGUUGUAAAGCCCUUUUGUUGGGAAAGAAAAGCAGCAGGUUAAUACCCCGCUGUUCUGACGGUACCCAAAGAAUAAGCACCGGCUAACUUCGUG
rnacentral:rRNA from 1 species